AGUCAAGUUAGUUUAAAAACAAACGUCAGCUUGUGGGUUUGAAAAUGAAAAGUUUAUUUUUACUUGACUA
rnacentral:tRNA from 1 species